CUACCAUGCAGUCGAACGAUGAUGGAGAGCUUGCUCUUCGGAUUAGUGGCGAACGGGUGAGUAACACGUGAGCAAUCUGCCCUUGACUCUGGGAUAAGCGUUGGAAACGACGUCUAAUACCGGAUACGACCUUGGAAGGCAUCUUCCUUGGUGGAAAGAAUUUUGGUCAGGGAUGAGCUCGCGGCCUAUCAGCUAGUUGGUGAGGUAAUGGCUCACCAAGGCGACGACGGGUAGCCGGCCUGAGAGGGUGACCGGCCACACUGGGACUGAGACACGGCCCAGACUCCUACGGGAGGCAGCAGUGGGGAAUAUUGCACAAUGGGCGAAAGCCUGAUGCAGCAACGCCGCGUGAGGGACGACGGCCUUCGGGUUGUAAACCUCUUUUAGUAGGGAAGAAGCGAAAGUGACGGUACCUGCAGAAAAAGCACCGGCUAACUACGUGCCAGCAGCCGCGGUAAUACGUAGGGUGCAAGCGUUGUCCGGAAUUAUUGGGCGUAAAGAGCUCGUAGGCGGUUUGUCGCGUCUGCUGUGAAAACCCGAGGCUCAACCUCGGGCCUGCAGUGGGUACGGGCAGACUAGAGUGCGGUAGGGGAGAUUGGAAUUCCUGGUGUAGCGGUGGAAUGCGCAGAUAUCAGGAGGAACACCAAUGGCGAAGGCAGAUCUCUGGGCCGUAACUGACGCUGAGGAGCGAAAGCAUGGGGAGCGAACAGGAUUAGAUACCCUGGUAGUCCAUGCCGUAAACGUUGGGAACUAGAUGUGGGGACCAUUCCACGGUCUCCGUGUCGCAGCUAACGCAUUAAGUUCCCCGCCUGGGGAGUACGGCCGCAGGCUAAC
rnacentral:rRNA from 1 species